GGUGCCUUGUAUUAUAACAACCACAUUUGCUCUUAUAGUAUGGAUUGCAGCCAACCAUCUGCCUUUGACCUAUCAUAGCUAUGAAGACCUCUUUCCCCCUCUUGGUUGUCCUGGCCGUGCUGCUCAUUUCUGAUCUGGGAUUGACAGCUGUAAGGAAUGAAGCAUCAUGUGUAGAAGAAGAAGGCUUUUGCAAACAUUUGGCAUGUCCAAGCGGCAGUAAGAAAAUCGGAUUUUGUGGUUGGCUGAUCAUAUGUUGUGCCAAUUUGGAUAUCAGAUGUUGACCAAUCUGCUGAUGAACAGAUGGGAGCUCAUCCACAGUGCAUCUCUUCUUGAAGAAUCCUCCUCCUCAUGCCAGCCUAACAAACUCUCCUGUAUGGACUUUUGUCACCUGAAGAACCAAAAUGGGACCUUUGCUCUGAGCAUUUUGAAGCCCUGAUCCAAAUAACAACAAUGUAGAGUGCAAAUGAGUAUACAGGUUCCCCCCCCCGGGUUUGAAAGCAG